UCCUGGCUCCACCCUUUCCCAGACCUCAUUUAAGAGUUGGCAGGGGGAGGUGAGGCUAUUUUGCUGGAGAUCCUUGUGUACUGGAGUUCUUCUGAAGUACAGACCUUGAGUCCAAUGUGCCACAAGACUGCAGUACUGCAAUGAGAACAGCACUGAAAAGAAGCACCUUCGGAAGCAGACAGUAACACAAGCCUGGGUCCUGUGUUGUUGAUCAGCUUGAAGGAGGUAAACUCAUCCUGUGUGUUACCGUUCAUCACCCCAAAGAGCCCCUGUGUGUGAUUCAUAAAAUUCUCUGGAAGCAGAACUGUCAGG